rnacentral:rRNA from 1 species
AGCGGCGGACGGGUGAGUAACGCGUGGGCAACCUGCCCCAUACAGAGGGAUAGCCACUGGAAACGGUGAUUAAUACCUCAUAAGACCACAGCAACACAUGUUGCAGAGGUAAAAACUCCGGUGGUAUGGGAUGGGCCCGCGUCUGAUUAGCUAGUUGGUAAGGUAACGGCUUACCAAGGCGACGAUCAGUAGCCGACCUGAGAGGGUGAUCGGCCACACUGGAACUGAGACACGGUCCAGACUCCUACGGGAGGCAGCAGUGGGGAAUAUUGCACAAUGGGCGAAAGCCUGAUGCAGCAACGCCGCGUGAACGAUGAAGGCCUUCGGGUUGUAAAGUUCUUUUCUUGGAGAAGAAUCCAUGACGGUAUCCAAGGAAUAAGCCCCGGCUAACUACGUGCCAGCAGCCGCGGUAAUACGUAGGGGGCAAGCGUUAUCCGGAAUCACUGGGCGUAAAGGGAGUGUAGGCGGUCAAGCAAGUCAGAGGUGAAAGGCAUCGGCUCAACCGAUGUAAGCCUUUGAAACUGUUUGA